rnacentral:lncRNA from 1 species
UUUCAACAGUAAAGCACUGUAUGAUUCACAGUGUAAUAACAUAAAUGUGUUUUACAGCGUUUAUCCUGUAGAUUGCACUGCAUUAUGGGUAAAAUGCUGAAAAAUACUUUUAUUAACUGUAAUUCGGAAGCAUCCUGUUAAAAUUACUGUAGAUUCAAAUGAUCCGUUUCAGGAGCCAACCUCAUGCUGUCAGGUGAGACACAUGAAGCUCAGACUAUUUUAGUAAAUAUCUUCUUGAAGCGGCUGUGAAGUGGAAGAAUACUUUCAGCAGCUACUGGGUAGGGACCUUGCCUUGUUUAUAAGCAUAUUUAUUGCUAGACAAUGUUGAAUUACUGCAUGUUUCCUUAGCUAACUUAGCUAGAUAGCUGGAUAAUGUUUGCUAGCUAGCUAGCUAGUUGAUGUUGACAAAAGCCAUUUUGGUCUGCUCUAAAUUGCUCCGCGAUACCUAGCUGUGCGACCUAGAAAAACAUCACAGAGAGAAUAUUGUGAUCAUAGAGGCUGCAAUACAGCCUAAGUGCCAUCGAGAAUACACUGAGUGCAGAUUCGUGACCGUUAUGUUUCCACCAAUAAUACAAACAAAAUGGCUUGUUUCUAGCAGUUCAAAAGAUGACCCAUAUUUGUUCGGCUUGACGGGCGCAUUUUACACAUAAAUCGCGUUGUGGGCCGUACUCUCGAGCCGCUAAAGCUGAUGCGAAUGACCAGUGCACUAUAUUGUAUUGAGAUGCCUGCCAACCUAAGAUGCAGUGCCACUGGUCAGCUGUAGCCUAACACAGUGUCGGCGGUAUAAACUAUAACUUGGCAAAUUUUCCCCUCCAAGGAUUAUACAGUAUUUAAAGUAGGAUAGCAGAUGUCACUGUGAUAUAUUUUACUCAAUGGGGAGAGCAUAAAUGUCAAACACCGGGACAGUGUCCUCCUUAGCUGUUACAACCCGGUGUGAUUCAGUUCACUUGGCUCCCAUCUGCGCGACAUAAAUCAUCGUUUUGUAGGUCAGGAUUGUCCAUAUUGCCUCUCCCACUAACCAUUUGUUUAAUUUAAAAAACAUUGUUCCAUAAUGUUACAGUAUUAGCUAAACCUGUUCACUUUACCAGUAUUUCACAAACAUUUGUUAAUUCGUUUUUAAUGUCGUUACCAAUUUGAAUACAUGUAUUUUAUGUAGAAAUGAAUUGUUUUUCUUACAUUUAGAUUUUUUCUUACAUUUAGAUUUUACUAAAUGUACAGCAUUAUCCUGGCGCCAGAGUUGACAGCUUAAUACUGUAAUUUUUCUUUACAGUACUAUUUUCCUUACUGUAAAACAUUAAGCAUCCGUGUAAAUUUACAGCAAGGAUGAUGUAAUAUGUCUUUACAGUAAGGAAAAUAGUACUGUAAAACACAUUACAGCAUUUCUUCUGUAAAGCAAAAUCACAGUAUUAAGCUGGCCACUGUGGUGCCAGUAUAAUGCUGUACACUUACAGGGAAUUCUUUUACAGUGUACUUAAGAUAUUGGCUCGAAUCUAGGUUUUCCCUAAUGAUUUCGAGAAAACGUUUCACUUCUCCCAUUGACUUUCCAAAUCCCCAAACCCCAGCCCGGUGUGCUAGGUCUGUUUAGAAAACAUUCUCGAAGUCCGACGAUGUUGCGCCUCUGGGUUUAGAAACUCUGUAAUAUAAGGUUGCUAUAACAAAGCUCUCCACAGUGUCCUGUAAAAGUAGCCAUACUUAUUGGGUACUAGAAAUAAUCACCAUACUGGGGACAAUCUUGAUGUGUAUAUUAAUAGCAGAGAUCUGUAUAUAAUGACGAGAUGCUCAUGUCUCCGCCCAAACAAUGAGAGUCAUUGUCACAAAGGUGGAAAGGCAGAUGACAAGCUUAGGUCCAAAAUAAGCACAGAGCAACACAUUGGGCUUAUUUUGGAGAGAUUUUGGCGAGAGUGAAACCUCUCGCUUCGCCUCUUCCUCUUUGUUAAUAGUCAAUAGUUAAGGGGUCUGCCCUAUAUUUUUAUUGGAAUUUCACAAUUUUCUCCCGUAUUAAGAGAUACAGUAACAAAGAUAAAAUAAGAAUAACAAAAAACCUAACAAAAUAACCAACAUACAGACAGAAAUUAAAAACAAAAGCUCAAUUUAAAUAAAGGAAUUAGGUCCAACACAUGGAAGGUACAAUGUACCCGAGACAAGUAAACAACCACCAUUCUAAGAAAAUCCUUACAGCAUAAUAGCUGAUAAAUCAGGUUCUAGGUCAUUUAAAUAAGGUUCCCACACUUUGUAGAACUGAUCUGUUUUAGAAUGUAAUGUACAUGUCAGAUCUUCCAAUGGCACCCAUUCAAAUAGUAUCUUAUGCCAAUCCUUAAUAGAAAAGACCAUGUCAUUAAUCCAGUGUAAGAGGAUGUUUUUCCUUGCUGCGAUGGUAAGGAUGUUGUAAAGCCUCCUCUUACGCAUAUAAGUAAUAUGCCUACUAGGGAGACCUAACAGCAAAGAAACUGGGUCGAAUUCUAGGUCGACCCCCUAGGAUUUUUUUAAUUUCUUGAAGAACAUUAGAUCAGUAUCUUUGUAGUUUGGAAAAUGACCAUAAACAAUGUGUUUGGGUGCCUGUAUCCGUUUUACAUUUAAGACACUGAGGAGAGAAGGAGGAGGGGCUUAAAGCAUGUCUGCGAUUUGGGGAUACAUGCAAUCUUUGUAUUAUUCUUAAUUGGAUUGCUCUUGUACGAUUACAGAGCUAUUGUUUUUGCAUAUCUCCAAAUGUCCUCUCCCAUCUCCUCGUCAAUAGUAACAGACAAUUCUUUCUCCCACACUCGCUUGACCCUCUGUGUGUCAACAGUAGAAAAGGACCUUAAAGCAUCAUAAAAAAAAACGUUGAUAUUUUCCUUUGAGAAAAAAUGCAUUCUUUCAAUGACAGACACAUCAGGGUUGCCAAACAAGGUCGUGUUCUUCAAAAUAUAAUGUCUUGUAGAAAGUGGGAAAAGUCCUCCUUUGGGAGUUGAUAUUUCUCAACCAUCUGGUCAAAUGACAAUAAAAUCUUAUCAGCGAAUAAAUCAUUUAGUCUGCCUAUGCCCUUAUUAAGCCAAAUGUUAAAGCCAGCAUCCAGCAAUCCUGGUACAAAAUCUGGGUUGUUAAGAGUCGGGGUAAGAGCAGAGGUUAGUUUGGACCUUCCCAAAAAACAUUGAACUGACCUCCAUGCUUUGAGUGUGUUAAGUGGAAUGGGAUUAUUGCAGUAAUUUUUUACAGAUUUGAAGCUUUUGAAAAAUAAAAGAUCCUGCAAGGGGUAUUUAGAAAAAUAAGUCUCAAUGGCUAACCAAAUAGAGGAGUCAUCAUUUGUGAUCCAGUCAGAAAUAUAACAUAAGUGAUAAAACCAAAUAUUGGGCAGAUCCAAGACCCCCAUCGAACCUGGCAGCUGCAAUAUUGCUUAACCAGCUAUUUAAAUAUUUGAUUACCUUAUUGGAAAGUAAGAUUGGGAUAAUUUGCAUUGGGUAAAGUAGUCUAGAUAAAAUGUUCAUUUUCAAGAGGGAUAUUCUACCCAACUAUGAAAUCGGAAGAGUUGCAGCGCUUCAGAUCCUGUCUUAUUGUAUCAAAUAAGGGGGGAAAAAUUAGCUUUGUACAUUUGCUGGAAUUUAUGAGUUACAAAUAUACCCAGAUACAUUAAACUGUGAGUGAGACCAUUUAAAAGGAAAGGGGGUUGAGUUAGUAGGUACAGAGUGAGGACUACCAAGUGGCAUAGCCUCUGAUUUAGUUAAAUUAAUCUUGUAGCCUGAGAAUUCACUGAAUAAUCUAUUUUUUUUUAUUUAAACCUAACUAUGCAUGUCAGUUAAGAACAAAUUCUUAUUUCCAAUGACGGCCUACCGGGGAACAGUGGGUUAACUGCCUUGUUCAGGGCCAGAACGACAGAUUUUUACCUUGUCAGCUCGGGGAUUCGAUCCAGAAAAAAUUUGGUUACUGGCUCAACGCUCUAACCACUAUGCUACCUGUCACCCCGACAAGAGAUGUAAUUUAAGUCUUUGGGCUAGAGAUGAAUAUCAAAACAUCAUCCACAUACAAGCUUAUUUGAUGAUGAACGUCACCAAUGAGCAGACCCUGUAUAAUAGGCGUUACUCUGAUGGCCUCGGCCAGUGGUUCUGUAGGGAGCGCAAAUAGGAAAGGGGACAGAGGACAGCCCUAUCUGGUACCUCUGUGUUUGGAGAAGCUAUGCCCUUAGCCCAUUAGUAAGGACAGCAGCCUGAGGGUCAUCAUAUUUCUCACUGUUGCCACUCCCUCAGCUCCCAGCUGUGCCCUGGACACCAUAUGUGAAUUGAUUGCCCCGCAUCUAUCAUCAGAGUUCGUACUGUUAGGUGACAUAAACUGGGAUAUGCUUAACACCCCGGCCGUCCUACAAUCUAAGCUAGAUGCCCUCAAUCUCACACAAAUUAUCAAGGAAUUUACCAGGUACUACCCCAAAUCUGUAAACAUUGGCACCCUCAUAUAUAUCAUCCUGACCAACUUGCCCUCUAAAUACACCUCUGCUGUUUUCAACCAGGAUCUCAGCGAUCACUGCCUCAAUGCCUACUUGUGUUAUGGGUCCACGGUCAAACGACCAACCCUCAUCACUGUCAAACGCUCCCUAAAACACUUCUAAUCGACCUGGACCGGGUAUCCUGGAAGGAUAUUGACGUCAUCCCGUCAGUAGAGGAUGCCUGGUUGUUCUUCAAAAGUGCCUUCCUCACCAUCAUAAAUAAGCAUGCCCCUUUCAAAAGAUGUAGAACUAAGAACAGAUAUAGCCCUUAGUUCACUCCAGAUUUGACUGCUCUUGACCAGCACAAAAACAUCCUGUGGCGCACUGCACUAGCUUCGAAUAUUCCCCGCGACAUGCAACUUUUCAGGGAAGUCAGGAACCAAUAUACACAGUCAGUUCGCCUCUCUGGGAAAUGUUGGACGCUAGCGCCAGUGAAAUAGCAGAGCGCCAAAUUCAAAACAACAAAAAUCCCAUGAUUCAAAUUUCUCACACAUACAAGUAUUAUACACCAUUUAAAGAUAAACUUCUCGUUAAUCCAACCACAUUGUCCGAUUUCAAAAAGGCUUUACAGCGAAAGCAUACCAUUAGAUUAUGUUAGGACAGCACCUAGACAAGAAAAAGCACACAGCCAUUUUCCAAGCAAGGAAAGGCAUCACAAAAACCAGAAAUACAGCUAAAAUUAAUCACUAACCUUUGAUGAUCUUCAUCAGAUGGCACUCAUAGGACUUCAUGUUACACAAUACAUGUAUGUUUUGCUCGAUAAAGUUCAUAUUUAUAUCCAAAAACCCCAUUUUACAUUGCCGUGUAAUGUUCAGAAAUGUUUUGCCUCCAAACCUCCGGUGAAUGAGCACAUCAAUUUACAGAAAUACUCAUCAUAAACGUUGAAAAAAUAUACAACUGUUAUGCAUAGAAUUUAAAGAUAAACUUCUCCUUAAUGCAACCACUGUGUCAGAUUUCAAAAAAGCUUUACGGCGAAAGCACACUUUGCAAUAAUCUGAGUACAGCGCUCAGUCACCAAAACAAGCCAUACAGAUACCCGCCAUGUUGUGGAGUCAACAAAACUCAGAAAUAGCAUUAUAAAUAUUCACUUACCUUUGAUGAUCUUCAUCGGAAUGCACUCACAGGAAUCCCAGUUCCACCAUAAGUGUUAGUUUGUUUCGAUAAGGUCCAUAUUUAUGUCCAAAUACCUCCUUUUUGUUCGCGCGUUUAGUCCAGCAUUCCAAAUUCACAAGAGCGCGCGUUCAGUCAAGCCGAAAAGUCAAAAUAGUUACAUUACAGUUCGUAGAAACAUGUCAAACGAUGUAUAGAAUCAAUAUUUAGGAUGUUUUUAUCAUAAAUCUUAAAUAAUAUUCCAACCGGACAAUUCCUUUGUCUUCAUAAAGGAAAGAGAAGGGAGCUCGUGCUUACUGCCAGGCACCUGAUUACAACAGCUCUCAUUCUCUUCCCAUUCACAGUAGAAGCCUGAAACAAAGUAUUAAAGACUGUUGACAUCUAGUGGAAGCCUUAGGAAGUGCAAUAUGACCCCCCGCGUAGCAUGGCUUGCAACUGUUUCAACUUUUCUGAGGUGAAGCUGCACACAGGCCUCUCUGCCUAGUAGUGGUUUGUCAAAUGUAUCUGUAACAUAGAACUGUAGAUGUGCUUGUCUGUGCACUGUGUGCACUUGCAAUGUCAUUAUGCCCUUUGGUUUGACGCGGGUGCCUCCAUACGCUAUGAGUACAGUCUGUCUCUUUCACUUUGAAUUGCUUGGGAAAUUUGUCUGCUAUUGCUUGUGGGAGCACAUUAGCUUCAGCUCCUGAAUCGAACUUAAAGUUGACUGUCUGUUCCCCUAUGCGCAAGUUUGUGUGCCAGCCGGCAUUUCUUUUGCGUGCUAGUGUCACUGCACCUAUGAACAACGUGUCCGCUUCCCUGACCUCUGCUUCAACAGGUGCAACAUCUGUCCCUGACCUACGCACAGCUGCAAAGUGAUUUCUAAUGCCACAUUUUUUAGAACAUUGUGUUUGUGUGUUUUUCCACAAGUCUUUGUAUGCUGCACACUGAUUGCGUAACAUGGCAACCUUUUUUUUCCAUAGCAUGCACAAACUGUUCUGUGCUACUGGUAGCUGAUAUAGCCUUAGCCUGAGUGGACGUAACUUAUACUGCUAACAUCUAUGGCCUUAGCUAGGGUUAUCUGAAAUGUGAUGCUAAUCACAAUUUUGUCCCUCAGCAUUAGAUCCUCAUAUUUCUCCAAACCUCUCUUAUCCUGAGUUUGCACACAACUGCCAGGACAUUAGAUCUAUGGCGACACUCAAGUUUUUGAAUCCUGACACUCUCAACACAUUCACAAAAAUAGUAAUGGCCUCUAAACCUUCCGGCUGUCUACUGGACCCUAUUCCAAUUAAACUACUGAAAGUACUACUUCCUGUGCUUGGCUCUCCUAUGUUGAACAUUAUAAAUGGCUCCCUACCCUCACUAAAAGUGGCAGUAAUCAAUAAAAAAAAAUGCUCUUGAUCAGCAACUCCCUGCCUUCCUGAAGACAAAUAAUGUAUAUGAAACCCCAUCAUUGCACUCGUGAAGGUGGUAAAUUAACUUUGAAUAACAUCAGACCAAUGCUCUGUGUCUGUCUUGUGUUCCUAAACCGAAAUAGACACCAUCGAUCAUCGUACACUGUACCCGUACACAGCCAAUCUGUAAAUAGCACACCCUACUACCUCAUCCCCAUAUUAUUACUUAACCUCUUGCUCUUUUGCACCCCAGUAUACUCUCCUUGCACAUCAUCAUCUGCACAUCUAUCACUCCAGUAUUAAUGCUAAAUUGUAAUUAUUUCGCCUCUAUGGCCAGUUUAUUGCCUACCUCCCUAGUCUUCUACAUUUGCACACACUGUACAUAGAUUUUUCCAUUUUUAUGUUCUAUUGUGUUAUUGACUGUACGUUUGUUUAUGUGUAACUCUGUGUUGUUGUUUUUGUCGCACUGCUUUGCUUUAUCUUGGCCAGGUCGCAGUUGUAAAUUAGAACUUGUUCUCAACUGGCCUACCUGGUUAAAUAAAGGUGAAAUAAAAAAUUGAAUGAAACAUUAUUUUGGAAGGAUUGGAAACCGUAAUUGGUCUACGUGGACAAGUUCUUGCCUGGUUUAGAUUUUAUCUGUCGGAAAGAUAUCAGUUCGUCUCUGUGGAUAGUUUGUCCUCUGAGAAAUCAGGGGUGCGGGGUCUCUGUGGGCUAUACUCUGCCUUGUCUCAAGUAAGUCAGUGGUCUGUUGAUAUCCCUUUGGUGGUGUAGGGGCUGUGCUUUGGAAAGGUGGGUGUGGUUAUAUCCUGCCUGGUUUACCCUGUCCGUGGGUAACUUUGGAAGGGGCAACAGUGGCCACUGACCCACAACUCCCCCCAUCUGUCUCCAUUAUCUAUGCUGCAAUAGUCUGUGUUGUCGGGCUAAGGUCAGUCUGUCAUAUCUGUUGUAAUUCUCCUGUCUUAUAUGGUAUCCUGUGUGAUCUUAGGUAAGCUCCCUUUAAUUCUCCCAUCUCUCUCUCUCUUUCUUCUCUCUCUCUCUCUCCCCUUCCGGAGGACCUGAGCCCUAGGACCAUGCCUCAGGAUUACUUGGCCUGACAACUCCUGGCUGUCCCUGUCUCCAGUCCACCUGGUCGUGCUGCUGAUCCAGUUUCUGCUGUUCUGCCUGCGGCAAAAUGGAACCCUGACCUGUUCACCAGUCAUACAUUUACUCCUGAGAAGACAACCGUUACAGAACCACCCACCAAAGGACCAAGCAGCAGAAGAGGAGGAAGCCACAUGAGAGAAAAAAGGGAACAAUGGACAUGGGAGGACGUCCUGGACGGCAAGGGAGCCUACACCUGGGAAGAGAUCCUGGCCGGAAGGGAUCGCCUCCCAUGGGAACAGGUGGAGGCACUCAGGAGAGUGGAGGCAGCUGGACAGAGGAACCAUCGGGAACGUUACGCUGGAACACGGUUGGCUAGGAAACCCGAGAGGCAGCCCCAAG